rnacentral:rRNA from 1 species
GACGAACGCUGGCGGCGUGCUUAACACAUGCAAGUCGAACGAUGAAGCUAGAGCUUGCUCUGGUGAAUUAGUGGCGAACGGGUGAAUAACACGUGAGUAACCUGCCCCGAACUCUGGGAUAACUGCUGGAAACGGUAGCUAAUACUGGAUACGACCUACGAAGGCAUCUUCUGUAGGUGGAAAGAAUUUCGGUUCGGGAUGGACUCGCGGCCUAUCAGCUUGUUGGUGAGGUAAUGGCUCACCAAGGCGACGACGGGUAGCCGGCCUGAGAGGGUGACCGGCCACACUGGGACUGAGACACGGCCCAGACUCCUACGGGAGGCAGCAGUGGGGAAUAUUGCACAAUGGGCGCAAGCCUGAUGCAGCAACGCCGCGUGAGGGAUGACGGCCUUCGGGUUGUAAACCUCUUUUAGUAGGGAAGAAGCGAAAGUGACGGUACCUGCAGAAAAAGCACCGGCUAACUACGUGCCAGCAGCCGCCGCCG